rnacentral:rRNA from 1 species
UACGUAGGGUGCAAGCGUUAAUCGGAAUUACUGGGCGUAAAGCGUGCGCAGGCGGUUUUGUAAGUCUGACGUGAAAGCCCCGGGCUUAACCUGGGAAUUGCGUUGGAGACUGCAAGGCUUGAAUCUGGCAGAGGGGGGUAGAAUUCCACGUGUAGCAGUGAAAUGCGUAGAGAUGUGGAGGAACACCGAUGGCGAAGGGCAGCCCCCUGGGUCAAGAUUGACGCUCAUGCACGAAAGCGUGGGGAGCAAACAGGG